CUGCAUUGAUUGUGGGGGAGGAGGCGAGCCGAUAAGAGGUUCGACGGGGAGCGUAGCGACCCGAACGUUGCGCGUAGCGCGACGGCCCGGAGGGCAAAGGCCGCAGGCCUGAGUAAUCCUCCCCUCUCCAUCA
rnacentral:sRNA from 1 species